UACAGAGGUCCCGAGCGUUGUUCGGAUUCACUGGGCGUAAAGGGUGCGUAGGCGGUCGGAUAAGUCCGAUGUGAAAUCUCCAGGCCUAACCUGGAAACUGCAUUGGAAACUAUACGGCUUGAGGGUUGGAGGGGGGACUGGAAUUCUCGGUGUAGCAGUGAAAUGCGUAGAUAUCGAGAGGAACACCAGUGGCGAAGGCGAGUCCCUGGACAACAUCUGACGCUGAGGCACGAAAGCUAGGGGAGCAAACAGG
rnacentral:rRNA from 1 species